UACGUAGGGUCCGAGCGUUGUCCGGAAUUACUGGGCGUAAAGAGCUCGUAGGUGGUUUGUCGCGUUGUUCGUGAAAACUCACAACUCAAUUGUGGGCGUGCGGGCGAUACGGGGCAGACUGGAGUACUGCAGGGGGAGACUGGAAUUCCUGGUGUAGCGGUGGAAUGCGCAGAUAUCAGGAGGAACACCGGUGGCGAAGGCGGGUCUCUGGGCAGUGAACUGACGCUGGAGGAGCGAAAGCGUGGGGAGCGAACAGG
rnacentral:rRNA from 1 species